rnacentral:tRNA from 1 species
GGGGAUAUAGCUCAGCAGUAGAGCAUUUGUCUGGCAUGCAUGAGGCCCUGGGUUCCAUCCCCAAUACACACA